UGGGGAAUUUUGGACAAUGGGCGCAAGCCUGAUCCAGCAAUGCCGCGUGAGUGAAGAAGGCCUUCGGGUUGUAAAGCUCUUUUGUCAGGGAAGAAACGACGUCCUCUAAUACAGGGUGUUAAUGACGGUACCUGAAGCAUAAGCACCGGCUAACUACGUGCCAGCAGCCGCGGUAAUACGAAGGGUGCAAGCGUUAAUCGGAAUUACUGGGCGUAAAGCGUGCGUAGGCGGUUUUUUAAGUCUGCUGUGAAAUCCCCGGGCUCAACCUGGGAAUGGCAGUGGAUACUGGAAAGCUAGAGUGUGUCAGAGGAUGGUGGAAUUCCCGGUGUAGCGGUGAAAUGCGUAGAGAUCGGGAGGAACAUCAGUGGCGAAGGCGGCCAUCUGGGACAACACUGACGCUGAGGCACGAAAGCGUGGGGAGCAAAC
rnacentral:rRNA from 1 species